rnacentral:rRNA from 1 species
CAGUCGCCGCGGUAACACGUAGGGCGCAAGCGUUGUCCGGAAUUAUUGGGCGUAAAGAGCUCGUAGGCGGUCUGUCGCGUCUGGUGUGAAAUCCCGAGGCUCAACCUCGGGCUUGCAUCGGGUACGGGCAGACUAGAGUGCGGUAGGGGAGACUGGAAUUCCUGGUGUAGCGGUGGAAUGCGCAGAUAUCAGGAGGAACACCGAUGGCGAAGGCAGGUCUCUGGGCCGCAACUGACGCUGAGGAGCGAAAGCAUGGGGAGCGAACAGGAUUAGAUACCCCCGUAGUCCCUGUCUCUUAUAA